GGGGAAUAUUGCACAAUGGGGGGAACCCUGAUGCAGCAAUGCCGCGUGGGUGAAGAAGCACUCCGGUGCGUAAAGCCCUGUCAGCAGGGAAGAAAUGACAGUACCUGGGACAAGAAAGCCCCGGCUAACUAC
rnacentral:rRNA from 1 species